CCUACGGGAGGCAGCAGUAGGGAAUCUUCCACAAUGGACGAAAGUCUGAUGGAGCAACGCCGCGUGAGUGAAGAAGGGUUUCGGCUCGUAAAGCUCUGUUGGUAGUGAAGAAAGAUAGAGGAAGUAACUGGCCUUUAUUUGACGGUAAUUAUUUAGAAAGUCACGGCUAACUACGUGCCAGCAGCCGCGGUAAUACGUAGGUGGCAAGCGUUGUCCGGAUUUAUUGGGCGUAAAGCGAGUGCAGGCGGUUCAAUAAGUCUGAUGUGAAAGCCUUCGGCUCAACCGGAGAAUUGCAGUAGAAACUGUUGAACUGGAGUGCAGAAGAGGAAAGUGGAACUCCAUGUGUAGCGGUGGAAUGCGUAGAUAUAUGGAAGAACACCAGUGGCGAAGGCGGCUCUCUGGUCUGCAACUGACGCUGAGGCUCGAAAGCAUGGGGAGCGAACAGGAUUAGAUACCCUUGUAGUC
rnacentral:rRNA from 1 species